UAAAUAAGAUAAAGCAAGCUAGCAACUGCAAACUCUCAAUACAUCCUACUUGUAGGACAUGGUAAGUGUCAUUUUCAAUAAAUUACUCUGGGAAAUGUGGCAACUCAUUUAUAUGCAAACACUAAAGGUGACUUGCUCAGGUAGUCCUGGGUGAAUUGCACAUAUGCUGUGCAAACCUUUUUUUCUGAUGCCGAGGUUGAGUUGCUAUGACAAAUAAUUGGAAAAUGUGCCUAUAUCUUGAUGGAAAUCCA